UCCCCCUCCAAUAUUCGGGCGCCAUUGAGAAUUUGCAUGACAGUGACAGCCAGCACGCCAGGCCGCCAUUGCUUAUUGUUGUUGAGAAGUGCUUGCGUCGAUUAAUUUCCGCCUCUUUAAAUCCACAAUUUGUGCAAUAUCGUGUAAAUUUUCGGAAAUGUUUCGAAAGUGUUGUGUGCCGUUUGCAAUAAUAAACGACAGGACGUUAAAUUGCAUAAAUUACCCGCUGCAGAGGACAGCAAAAACCGGUGGUUAAAGUGCAUAGGUUACGAAAAUAUUGGUGAAAUAAUCACCACGAACAUGUUUGUGUGCCAUAAACAUUUUGAACAGAGGUUUGUUAACCCGAUGACUAAUCGUUUGAAGGGUGAUGCCUAUCCAUCCUUGUUUACUGACUUGGAGAUUUCCUCAGGACAUCCGUCACCGGUCCUUACAGAAACAGAUGCCAAGAAGACAACAGAUCAUAGUUAUUCCAAGAAGCGCCACAUUGACCAUUCAUAUGCACAACCACCAAAUAAAAUGGCAUGCCUUGAAGUUAAGGGUAUGUAGUAGUAUUUUAGUAAAAUAAAAAACUAUUUAAAUAAUCAUUUUGUUUUAAUUAUAUCUCCCGUAAUGUAUUUAUUUUUGAAUGGGCCGUAUUUUCAAUCGCCGGACAGCACAUUUAUUCCUAGGAACAAAUUAAUGUCUGGCGAUUGGAAAUAUUGGCCAUAAGGAAAAUGCCCGAUUUCAAACCGUAGGGUGCUCGGUUAUAUAUUAAGGCUGAAAAUUUUGAUUCCUCAGCCAAAAAAAAAAAAAACCGAGCACCUUAAAAAAAAAAAUGUCAUGUUCAAUUCUUGCAAUGAUGCCAAUGACCAAAGAAAAAAAAGAGGACCUGCCCUAUCCACGAAAAUUACAAUACAACAUUGCGACCGGUCGCCAUGUUGAUUGACAUCCAAACACAAGGUACUUCAGCUGUCAAACAAUUUGUUUGUUUACAUUUUUCAAGAAGCAAGCCGCCAUUUUAAUUGACACCAAAGCGCGUUUUUUUCGUGGAUAGGGCAUGUCCUCUUUUUUUUUUUUGGUCAUUGAAUGAUGCAAAGACAAAGUAUGCGACAUGGCGGUCUGAACGUUAGUUCUUCUAAGUAGUCUGUGAUUAUAGCUGAGUAGCACAUAAUAAUGGUGAAAAAUAAGCUAUCCUAAUUUAUAAAGAAGAAAAUCUUAGGAAUGUUUCUUGCGUUGUUUGAAGUUGAGUGACUUUAUGUAGUUGUAGUUUUAGAACUCAGUUAGGAUGUUACAGAAAACAAGAACAAAAUCAAUAACUGUAAUAAUAAAAUGACAAGAUAUUAUAAUGUAAAAACUUACCAGAUUUCAACAAGCUGUACGCAAUCUCAAUUUCUAAGAGGUUGUCCAGCAUUUCGGUUUUCUUCUUUAUGAGCUCUACAUUGUCCAGCAUUGGAGCGUUUUGAACACCGAAAUUAUGCGGAAUAAGAGUGUAGAAACUGAAAACCACAUACAAAAUUAAAUAAGUUUAGUCACCUACUAAUUUACUUGCCUACAUGCGAAGUUCGAGUUUUUACACCUUUCGAGCAGUAAUAACUAAACCACAGAAAAAUUAACUGCUAAACACAAAUUUGUACGGCUCGGGAGAGUAGUUCAAUAACAAUACAAUACUACAGUAUUUUUUACCGCUUGAAAUGUGAGAUAUACUUUACUACGCCCUCUGGAUUCGUUCUUAAUGAGAUUGUUUUCUUACCUAUUAGUUGCGUCGAUGAGUUUGUUCUUACUGGCCAUUCCUUUCUCGAUAUGUUUGAGCAGGUCACACAGCACUUUGUAGCCGGACUUUAUUUGUUUCUUUGACAACUUUCCGAGUGGCAUUUUCUCUGUGUCCAGCUGAAAAUAAACAAACAGACCAGUUUUAAUUACAUUAAAAAAACAUUAAAUCAUCAUCAAAAGAUACCAUCAUCAUCAGCCAAAACUAAUGCUGCUGGACAAAUGCUUCUCUAAGUCUGACCUCCCUCCCUAAGCUUGAAAAGCAAGCUCACAGAUGUAUGCCUACAUACCUCAAUCUAUUCUUAGGGUGGGAGGGGGGUGGGUGAAGCUCCUUUACGUGGCUCUCUCGAGUGGAACCUUUACUUAUACACGUAAAUCAGCUCAGCCAGCCUAGCUCCCGUGUAUAUUCUCGUUGUAAAAGCUGGGUUGGCGCUCUGUACAUACCUCAAACUCCAGCAAAGUUUUCUUCAUGACGUUGAUGUCGAAGAUGGUCAACACCAGGUUCUGCACGGGCAUGGGCAGCUUGCACUUGUCGUCAGGCUUCAGAACCUUCGCGCUGGCCUCGUCGUCACCGUAGUCCACGUCCACGGGGCAGUAGCAACCAGGCACCUGACAUAAGGAUAUUAAAUAUAAAUGGGAUUAUUAGGAUUGGAGAGCAAUUAGUUACAUUUUAAAUUUUAUAGUGUGCUGUUCCAACAGAAACCUUAUUAAAAUUAUAUUUAUGUUUAUAAGGCCGCGUCCUGGACGCAAGCGGGCGGAGCAGGCGGUUUGCGCGGUUUACAAGCAAAUUCUCUGCCGCCCACACCAACUAAGAUUAGAGCAAGUCAGCAUGAGCCCGCUCGUGACAUUGUUGUUUGUCACACGAUGUUUUCAAGGACGUUAAUUCAAAAAUUACGGUAAACUUUCCGCUUGAGCUUUAUUUAACGGCAUUCAUCCUCUUAUUUUUUUUACUUUUAAUAUUAAAAUCGCCUCUAGUCGUACUGUUAGCUACAUCAGAAUUAAACAAUUAUAAAAUCAAUCAGCUCACCUUUUCAAAAUGAUCUCGCCUCUCCCAAGGAUUCCCAGUCUUCUCCAUAUAAAGGUCCUUGAACUUGCGUAAAGCUUCGUCCACAUUCUUGCAUUUCUCCACCUUGCUGCUGCCGAUGGUCGUGCCGAUGCGGCCCCACGCGCGGAACAACCAGUAUCUACACACAGAUUAUACACACUGAAAAAAAUAAUUUUUAGCAAAGUACCAAUUUAGCUUGGUAAAAAAUUAUUCAGCUGCAUUCAAUCAAGACAUAUUUAAAUUAUGCAAUUAAGCUUAGCUAAUAUUGUACAAGCAAGUAUUGCUAAAUAUUCUUGGCUAUUAUUAACAAAGUACUCGUCUAUUUCUAAAUUACCAACUCGACUAAAAAUUACCAAAACCAUAUUCGGUUGAAACUAAACAAGUUACAUAUUUAUUACAUAGUAAGUAAGUUAUUUAAUUUUAGUCAUAAUCAUAGUUGGCUAUAGUUUACACCGAGCUUGGUUAAAAAUAGACAAGCUUACAUUAUUGUUUCAUAAUAAGUAAGUUAUUUAAUUUUGGAUAUAAUCAUAGUUGGCUAAAAUUUUCAGUUACGAGUUUGGUUAAAAAUAGACAAGCUUACAUUAUUAUUUAAUGAUAAGAAGUAAUUUAUUUAAUUUUAGACAUCAACGUAGUUAAAAUUAAAUAACUCACUAUGAUGCAUGUAACCGUGCCACCUAUAUAUUGGUAAAUAAGCACAGCUCAUUAAUUAACAAUUGAGUGGGCGAAUACUAUUUAUAUCCGAGUAACUUGAUAAAAAAUAAACAAGGAAUCGGCUACAUAGCCUGAGAUUUCGGCCAUUUCUCCCAAAUCAUAGUCGCGUGACGGACGUGUCUGUUGAAGCUCCUCCCGAGGCGCAGGUCUUCACCUCUAUCUCCAAGCUUUCGUUUACCAGACGGACUAAUAAGAAAGAUGAAGAAGACAAACUGUUAAGGCUUCACAAUUACGCUUAGGCCUUGGACAGCUGUAGAACAAAGGUGUGAAGAGACCACAGAGACAAGGAUAAUUGCUUCAAAAGAGUUAUCCACAGCUCAAUACUUCAAUGAAUAUGCUGCUCUUAAAAACCGAAAGGAUAUGUCCUGGUUCAGAGGAGACAUCAAACAUAGCAUGUUUGCUGUUCAUACCACCGUCCACCACCCUUAAGGCUGAAGAACGCAGCAAAAAAGAUUUGGCGUCCUUCAAAAGCAGAGACCACGGCCAGUAUUAUUCUUCAUGUCAGAAGUUACUCCGAUAUCUGUACUAUGGUAACAAGUAAGCUAACAAAAUUUCUAUAAUAUGGGCUCACUGUCACCUUUUAUAAUUAUUGUCGGUGAAUCCAUUGAUGCAUGGAUGUUUAAAUUGUAUUCUUAAGUUACUUCUCAUCAAGCAAAAUAUUGUCUAAUAUUACUUUAAUGUGUAAAUUACAUUAGUUACGAUAUAUUCCUGAUAUGACCUACGCAUCUAAGAUAUCGAUGAUCAUAGAUAUUGACAAUUUUUUAACUAAAAAUCAUUUCCAAUUACUGAAAUACUUAAAAUGGCCUUGGGUUAAGACACAUUUUAUUUUGUCUAGUAAGUGUUUUGGGUGUGAUUUUUUGACGGUUUGUAAUGAAGCUCAACCAGAACAUUUUAUAAUAGAAAACGAACAAUAUGUAAAGAAUUUAUUGCACUUUAAUUUUUUUUGGUGUAAAAACUGUUUAGAGUGUAGCAUUUAUGAUCAUUUUCCCGAUGAUGAAUGUGAAUUAUGUUUGAUUUAGAUCUAUUUAAAAGUUUAUAUGACGGUAUUAUUGGGUUGUAUAAAAGUUAGGUCAUUAGUGUCAUUACAUACCUAUUAUCUUAGCUUAUUCUAUAUUUAUUAUCUUAUGUUCUGGCUAAUCAACUAAAAGUAUAAAUUUAUGUAAAGUAACUUGCUAACAUUACAAUAACUGUCAUUUGUUUUUUUAUGUAAACAAUGUAUUAACAAACACAGUUUCUUGAUAUUGUGUACUAGUUUUAAGAUUAAUUCUUAUAACAGAGUAGUUUGUUACCUGAAAUGACU